CCAGAAACCCUAACCUAGAAAACCAGUUGAACUGAGCCGGCGAAAUGGGCGCGAACCUUUUCGCCGACGUGGACGACGACCAAAACGACAUUGAUACGAAGAUCGAAAUCGACGAAGAGUUCGCUCGCCGGUACGAGCACAACAAGCGCCGAGAAGAUCUGCACAAGCUGGAGGAGCUGAAAAAGAAAGGCCUCGCCGGCAUCGGUGACUCCGACGAUGAUGAGUCGGAGUCCGAAUCAUCUUCGGACGCCGACGACGAUGAGUCGGACGGUGAUGAAGAGGAUUUGCAGUUUUUUGAUGCGUUGAUCAAGGUGAAGAAGCAGGAUCCGAGUCUGAAGCAAAAGGAUACGAGAUUGUUCGAAGUGAAGGAUUCAGAUGAAACUAAAGCUGUAAAGGGUGAGAAAUCGAAGAAAGCUAUGUAUUUGAAGGAUGUGGUGGCGAAGCAGUUGAUAGAGGAGGGAGCUGACUACGACGAUGAGGAAGAGACUGAGAAACCGAAGCCAAAGAGCUAUGCUGAAGAGCAGGAGGAAUUGAGAAGGGCGUUUUUAGACGCUGCCGAGGAGGUGAUGGAAGACGACGGCGGGGAGUUGUUGUCUAUGAAGGAGAACGCGACAGAGAAGGAUGAGAGUGGUGAUGGUGAGAUGCAGAAGAAGUUGGAUGAGUAUUUUGGGGAAGAUGGCAAAUUGGAUGAGAAUUCCAUGUUUUUGAAGGAGUAUUUCUUGAAUAAAAUGUGGAUUGGCGAUGGAGACACUGGGGGUGGCGCGGGGGAUGAGGAGGCGGAGGGGGUGUCGGAGGAUGAGGAGGAGAUAGAGAGGCAAGAGGAGUAUGAGAAGAAGUAUAAUUUUCGGUAUGAGGAGAAUGUGGGUGAUAGGGUGUUGGGGCAUGCUCGGUUUGUGGAAGGGUCAGUGAGGAAGAAGAGUAAUGCAAGGAAGGCGCAAAGGGAGAGCAAGAAAGAGAGGAUGGCGAGGGCAGAGGAGGAGAGGAAGGAGGAGUUGAAGAGGUUAAAGAAUUUGAAGAAGAGGGAGAUUCUGGAGAAGAUGAAUAAGAUAAAGGAAAUUGCAGGUAUUGGAGAAAAUGGGGUUCUACCUGUGAACGAGGGUGAUUUAGAAGGUGAGUUUGAUCCAGAGGAGUAUGAUAGGAAGAUGAAGGAGGCAUUUGACGAAGAUUACUACAAUGCCGAUGAUGCAGACCCUGGGUUUGGUAGUGAUAGUGAUGAGGAUGAUGGUGGACUUGAGAAACCCGAUUUUGACAAAGAAGAUGAGUUGCUUGGACUUCCGAAAAAUUGGGAUGUGUGUGAGUCUGGUGACGGGUUUUUAGCUGCUAGGGAAAAAAUUUUGAAACAAAAGAAGGAUGUUGAAAGUGAUAGUGAUAGUGAUAGUGAGAAAGAAGAGAUAGAACCUGAAGAAGGUGGGAAGCGGAAGAGGAAGCAUAGGGAGAAGGAUGAGCUUUCCAAAGAGUGGAAGAAAAUAUAUUUGGAAGAAACCUCUAAGUUGGAGUAUGAGGAUACAAUUGGAGACCUGAAGACCCGGUUCAAGUACACUACUGUAAAUCCUAAAAGAUUUGGUUUGAGUGCUGAGGAGAUUCUAAUGAUGGAUGACACAGAUUUGAAUCAGUAUGUUUCUUUGAAGAAGCUUGCUCCUUAUAGGGAGAAGGAAUGGAAGGUGCCUAAUAAGAAGAGGUAUGAACAGAAAACGAGGAACAAAUCUCUCCUUGAAGAAGCAAAAUUGAAUCGGAAGAAGAAUGCUGGAAGGAAGAAGUGGAAAGGUGAUCAGAAGAGAUCAGCUUUGGAAAAGGAUGCCAAGCAAGAUGAGAGUGCACAGGUGGAAGCAUCAAAUGGUGACAUGGGCAAUGUAUCCCAUGCAAGCAGGAGAAGACGCCGUCAAGCAGAGCUUAAGUUAUCACACUCAAGGCUCAUGGCAUAUGGGAAGAUCCCUACUAAACCUAAGAGUAAAGCAAAGCACUGAACCUCAAGGAUAAUUACAAAGAGGCCAUAGAGAUGGAUACUGUUAGGAGUGAAUUAUUCAGAUGAGCCUUGAGCAACCCGCUCACCGAGGAGGAAUUCCGAGCUUGUUGCCGAAGAAGAGGCUUAAAGCUUGGAAGUUGAAAGAAGUCAAGUGUCCAUGAUGGAAGAAACAAACCUCUAUUACUUGACCUUCUUUUCUUUCUUCCAUUGAUUGAACUUCAAAUUUUGUUGUAAUUCUCUGUAUGUCUCUCUUAACUUAGUGAUGAGGUCUAUAUUUUGAUGGGUUUUUGUUUGUAGAUUGAUCCUUACGCCCUCUAAUCCUCAAAUCGGAUGAUGUUACGGAUUGAAGAUAAUGAUCUAAAGGAAUGAUGGAUGGAGUUUGAAUGCGAAUAGGGGUAUAUACUAAUAUACUUAACCAAA